UCUUCAACGACAGAGGAAAGCCAGAAAAUUAAGAGUCAAUGUAGGAAUAAAAUUAAUAUAUAACUAAAAAGUCAUACUUUGACAUUGUCUACUGGAUUUACGCUCAGUGAUUUUUUCACUAUAAAAUUCAUUUAUACUAAAAUCUACAUCGAUGUUCACAACAAAUUAUGUAGAGGGUCACCCAAGCAGCAAGAAUUUCUUCCUCCAUGUUGUUACCAAUUGCCUUCUUCAAGUGUUUCAUUGCUGAAAAUAAUCAAAAGUCUUGACUUUCCGUGCUUACUAAUAUUUUAGUCUUUCUUAUCCUGACCGGAAGCACUUACCAAAUGCAUAGUUUGCGAAUAUUCAUUUCACUAUCCUCAAAUUAAAUUCUGUCCUUCUUAUGGUUAGGAAGUAGGAUACCUAGGCAAUCUCAAGUGUUAGUAAUCUACAAGAGUACUAGGCAAUACCUCUUUUGGUGUUGCCAUUCUCCACUCUAAAAUUCUAUUUCAGUGUGGUGUGUUUUCCAUAGAAUAGUGUCUCGAACUACCUUCAUUCUCCCAAAACUCAUUGAACUCACCUAAUUCCAUAGCCUUUUUUGUUCCAGUCAAGGCUUUGCUACUUAAAGGUGAGGAUUGCCAAAUCUUAGUCCACAGUUUAAGAAGUCAAACUAGAAGCAAAAAGGAAAUCAAGAGCAAAUUGAAAAAUUUAAAGGGAGAUCUGUUGCCUCAAUUAAGACAUUAUUUUGAAAAAUAAAAUACAAAACCUAAAAAGAAAAACAAAAUCGCACCAGUUGGUGGUUGCCGGUCGCGUCGCGAGUUGUAGCUGGCUACGCACUAAAUAAUAGACAAAUUUGUCGUUUCAAUUUCACAAAACCUACUUCACAAAUUUGUCAUUUCAAUUUCACAACGUGUCAAGAUCCAAUUCACAAAUUUGUUAUUUCAAACUUGCAUGCUUCAUAAAUCCAAAUGGAAAUUGUUUCUGCAGUAGUCAUUUAAUCAAGCACGAAAUUAACAUGUCUCGAAGUAGAAGGAUUUCUGUAUUUCUUCAUUUUCCCUCUUUGCAGCAGUUCAAUCUAUUUGAACUUUAAUCAAUUAGCAUAAUCAAAUAAUUCAUUAAUUAGAACUAUGAAACAUAAUAAAGGUAUUAAAUCAAACAAAAUUCCGAAAAUUGAAACUUGAAAACGAAAAUCG
rnacentral:lncRNA from 1 species